rnacentral:lncRNA from 1 species
CUGUCAAUCAGGGCCCAAUCAGCUGACUGUCAGCUGGGACGGGCGGGGUUAACCCUUCCCGCGCCGCCGCGCCGCUCCGGGGAGGGAGGGAGCGGCCCAGGCGCAAAGUUUGGUGCUAGAGCGACAGGAGUUUCCCGAGGGGCGGCGGGAGGCCGUAGGGCCGGGGGGAAGGUGUGCUGGCUCCGGGCGCGCCCCAGGCCUCCCGGCCGCGCUGGCUGCCUCCGGCUCCCCUAGCCGCUCGCUUCUUUUCCUUCCCUGCGCCUUCCGCACCCCAGGUGGGGAAGGACGCUAAGAGGGUGCACUGGAAAAAAAAUCUGGGAAGCCUGCAAAAGGAUUGAAGAGUGGAAACUAUUGUUGGACCGAGUUGGUUUUUACCUCAACAGCGCCACCUUUCGGCAAAGGUCGCCAGGAUGCUUAUCUUGUUCGGAACUCAGCCUGUAUCUUUCCAAGAUGGAACUGGGUGGAAAACACAGCUGAGAUGCACAGGCCUCGGAGCCAAGGUGGAAUGCGAUGAAUCCUGCCAGUGAACUCUGUGUGGGGAGGGAUGAGAUUAAGCACUGGAAGUGGCGAGGUGUCUGCUGCUGUCCAGAGGCCCACUCCGGCUCUGCAUCACAGAUGCUCCCCAAGGCUUCAAGCCACACCGACGGGACGGAAUUUUGUGAUCUUCAGAUGAUAACACAAACCUGCCCCAUUUCCACAGGCCCGUAUCCUGCCCAUUCCUCAAGGCACAGUGCAGAUUCAGGCUUGCAGCUGAAGCUCUGAACAGGGUCUGGCGUCUGCUAUGCCUUUAGUGAGAGUCAGAUGCUGGUGCUAUGACACGGGUCCUGGAAGCCUCCUGGGCCUUUCAUCUGGGAUCCCCGAGGUGCUAGUUCAGCCUCUCUUGGGGAGUCCUGAGCUGUAGCUUGGGAAGCAGCUUGGUGAAUGGCCAACCAGGACCGUGCCUGAUGGGAUUUGUGACCUGGGAGGUCUCUCUGUGCGUUUCCUGUCUCACUGUCUCCAUCUGCAUGGAUGAGUCACUUAGCC